ensembl:lncRNA
AUGCCCAAACCGCUCCCGCGGACCCCCACCCCUCUCCCGCCGCACUCGGGAAGCGCCUUCCCCCUCCCCCGCCUCGCAUUGGCCGCAGCGCCCGCCCGUCCACACCCUCAACCAAUCAGCGCCCGAGCUCGGAGCGCUGGGGGAAACCAAACGAGAGCGCGGGCGAUGGAGAGGAGGCUCAGCCUGGAGCAGCGAACGGAGCGUCUGGUGCAAAGGAGCCAGGCCCUGCUCAGGCCCCGCCCCCGCGGGCCGGAAGGGGCAAAGCCUCUGCUCGCCUCCGCCGCCUGCAGCUCCACCCUCGAUGACCCCCUCGUCCAAUGGCGCUUGAGGCGGUGCAGAGGGGAGGAGCCAGCGCUGCACACGCCCCUGAGGGGCAGGGCCCUGCUGGACUCUGCUGCUCCCCGGGAUGCCCUGCGGGAGCCACCGAGGAGGUCAAGUGAUUCCCCCGGGACCCUGCAGGGGGCAGGGCCCUGGCAGUCACAUGACCCACCAGAGGCCCCAUGGCCAAUCGGCAGACACUUCUGCAACCACCAGGGGGCGUCUUCACCGCAGGCCGUCUCCCCAGAACCCUUGUGGCAUCAUCCACGUUGGAGGCCACAUGACUCCCACAAGACCCUCUGGCCAAUGAGGAGCAGCUCUCUGGAUACCCUGAAGGCGGCACUUUACUCACAGUCACGUGACUCCCACCAUGCCCCGCAGCAAAUCAGCCAGAGCUGCAGUACACCUCUGCACCAGGGGGCACGACCCGCUGGGAAGCGAGAGUCCCAUGCACCUUUGCUGCAGGAGCCAUUUUGGGGGUCACAUAACUUCCUUGGGCCUCUGUGGUGUGCGCCAUAUUGGAAAUCAUGUGAGUCCCAGGAUGGCCUGAGGCCUGCAAGGGAGGCGCUUCCUGAGCCCCUGGGCCCGGGAGGGCCUGGCUUGAGGUCACGUGACCCCCAUAAGGCCCCACAGCCAAUCAGGAGCAGUGCACGUGAUGCCCUACAGGGGACGCCGUGGCAGCAGCCACUGGGGCCAUCGAGACCCUCCUGGAACGCCCACCUGGGCACCCCCAACCCAUGGUGGGGCCAAAAAAGUAAUGGCACCCCAAAAUUGCACCAGGAAGGCGGGGAGACCCGCAGAACUCCCUGCCUUACCUCCCCCACCUUGAGGAUUGCCCCAAAUCCCCUCUCCCCCUAA